rnacentral:rRNA from 1 species
AUUGAACGCUGGCGGCAGGCCUAACACAUGCAAGUCGAACGAGGGGCGGACGGGUGAGUAAUGUCUGGGAAACUGCCUGAGGGAGGGGGAUAAAUAGUGGAAACGGUAGCUAAUACCGCAUACCAUCGGAUGUGCCCAGAUUGGAUUAGCUAGUAGGUGGGGUAACGGCUCACCUAGGCGACGAUCCCUAGCUGGUCUGAGAGGAUGAACAGCCACCCUGGAACUGGGACACGGUCCAGACUCCUACGGGAGGCAGCUGUGGGGAAUAUUGCACAAUGGGCGCCAGCCUGAUGCAGCCAUGCCGCGUGUGUGAAGAAGGCCUUCGGGUUGUAAAGCACUUUCAGCGGGGAGGCGUUACCCGCAGAAGAAGCACCGGCUAACUCCGUGCCAGCAGCUGCGGUAAUAC